GGAAGUCUCAGCUGGACGCAGUGGAGGAUUGUGGGUUGUUGGGCUCUCAGAGCAGUCCUGCUGAGGUGGUCAUUCAGAGGGUGUGCUGCAUACCCAUGACCCAGACCCUUCACAGAGCUUCACUCCAGCACAGAGCACUGGACAGACCUCCGUCAGAAUCAGCACCACCGCAACACAUCGGCAGAAUCCGAGAUCCAGCAGAGCUUUGAGCAGCUGGAGGGCCGUGUGUGUCUCCUCCAGGCCCUGAGAGUCACCCAGCAUCUCACACACGGCAAUAUGUAUAAAGCUCCUCUGUUGAGUGUUUUCAGCGAGGGCUCGUCCCGCUGGACUGGAUGGGGCGGUUGAGCGGGUCACAGGAGGAGGUGAGGGGGAAAGAGAGCUAGACUGUGGAACUGGUUGUGAUCAUGCUGCACUGAGGCACACACAGGGCUCAAGAAUGCUUUUUAAGCUCCACUAAGAACGUUUUAUUCUCUUGUUCUAGAAAUCCAUCUAUGUAUUAGAGCUUUUAAGAGUCCAGAAACUGAAUUUGAUCUAUAAUAAAAAAUCAAGAACUUCUGAUGAUCUCCAAACAGCCAUACAACAACUUGAGUUUUUGCGCUGCUAACGCAAUGCUCUACCACUGAGCCAUAUAUAUAUGUAUGUGUGUGGAAAAUAUUA
rnacentral:lncRNA from 12 species